AAGGAAUCUGAUUGGGCUCUGGCUGCCUGCUCUGCGGACAGAAAAAGGGGAAGAAUCCUUUCUAUUCUCGGGACACGCAGAUCUUUCUGCAGGCAAUCUGGCAAUGCUGGAGGAAAAGAGGGACACCGUGGAUGAGGAGAUCGAUGAAAAGAAGUCAGCUUGAGAAUGACAGGGGCAUUGAGAAAUGCAGUUCUCGUUUUGCCACAGUUAAUGGAGACUCUCACACGGGAGACAGAGAUACACAACCAGGAAGACUGAGAGUAUGAUUCAAACAAUGAUUGGCAGCCCAGCAGAGGAGGAAAGUGUGGUCUUAUCCUCGAGGAAGGGCAUGAGCUGGGAGGUCACCCACAUUAUUACCUUCACAUCAGUUGUCACACCUAAUAGCAAAGGUGACUGGAAAUACAGUCUUUCUUCUGAGCAGCCACAUGCACAGCAAACGUGGGAGUGAAAAAGGAGGCACGGUGAUGGAGUGCGUGGGUGCUGAGAUGACUGGUGUAUCUUACUAUGCUGGGUUUUAUGUGAUGCUGGAGAUGGAACCAAGCCAGAGCUUCAUGAAUGAAAGUAACUUGGAGGCUGGAGAGAUGUCUUGGCAGUUUAGACCACACCAUAUUCUUGCAGAAGAUCCUCGUUCAACUCCUAUGCCUGUGCCAGUGGGCUCAUGGCACCCGUGACUCCAGUUCCACAAGAGUUGAUCCCUCCUCAAUCCCUCUGGCCUCUGAGGAUGCUUCCACUCUCAUGCUCAUACCCACGUGCAGAUAUACACAAUUAAAAAUGAAAAAUAAAAACAAAA